GGGUGAAGAAUAAUGGAAAAAUCAGGAAAAUGCUUGUGACACUGCUACAGUCUUGCUGGCAGACAGAACCAUGCUAACAAAAUCCAUGACGUCUGCAGAAGAGUGAUGAUUUGUCAAAAAGAAUCAUUAAUGGAAGGCAAAAGAAAAUUCAGUAAUGGAUAAUCUUUUUCAUCCUACACUCCUUUUCAUUUGCCGACUGCUCAGCCAACAUAUACCCAACAAUCUGGAACCCACACAGCCUAAAACUUCAUAGUUCAGUGAAGCCAGGAAAAUCAACAAAUGAAACUUCUGUUUCCCUGGAGUCACCCUAGCUGACUAUCCACUCAAAGGAAAUACUUGGGCCUGGAGAAGAGAAUAACUGGAUUCAAGAAGGCAGCUGGAGUAUGAACAUUCUGGGCAGUUCAGAUCAUCUUUAUCACGUCUGAAAACAGCAAUAAAUCUUCACCCUGUCCUGUACAGCCUGAGAAAAUAAUUGGCAUGCUCAUUACCUUUUCUUCGUGCCAAGAGCUAAGUGAAAUUUACCCUUACGUAAUAUAUGAAAAGGAUGGAUGUACAGCUUUUCUUGACUUUGUUGUGUCUUUGCAGAAGUAUUUAUUGUGCUGUUUCUUCGCAAAUUUUCCCUUGUAGCUGUUUU